rnacentral:rRNA from 1 species
ACGAACGCUGGCGGCGUGCUUAACACAUGCCAGUCGAACGGAAAGGCCCUGCUUUUGUGGGGUGCUCGAGUGGCGAACGGGUGAGUAACACGUGAGUAACCUGCCCUUGACUUUGGGAUAACUUCAGGAAACUGGGGCUAAUACCGGAUAGGAGCUCCUGCUGCAUGGUGGGGGUUGGAAAGUUUCGGCGGUUGGGGAUGGGCUCGCGGCUUAUCAGCUUGUUGGUGGGGUAGUGGCUUACCAAGGCUUUGACGGGUAGCCGGCCUGAGAGGGUGACCGGCCACAUUGGGACUGAGAUACGGCCCAGACUCCUACGGGAGGCAGCAGUGGGGAAUAUUGCACAAUGGGCGGAAGCCUGAUGCAGCAACGCCGCGUGCGGGAUGACGGCCUUCGGGUUGUAAACCGCUUUCGCCUGUGACGAAGCGUGAGUGACGGUAAUGGGUAAAGAAGCACCGGCUAACUACGUG